GCUCGCGUCCGGUGAGUUCCUAUUGGCCAACGGGAGGCCCCGGUCGGAGAGCGCCCCGGGACAGGCCCCUGUGCCUCCAGCUUUGCGGAGUGACGCAGGCCCUGGGCUACAGCAACCUUACCAGCCCCUCCACCUUAGAGGUGGCAGUGGCUCUCUGUGGCUGCGAUUUCUUUCUCGGAGCGUCCUCCCCAUCCCAUUCGGCCUCUGCCUCCACCGUCGUCUCUGUAACCCGUUCCCUGUGGGAGCGUCCCUGUUGCAGCGUUUAUGGGUUUCGGUUUUCUGGCUGAACAGUGAUUAACGCGAGGGAAGGCGCUGACGGCAAGGUGGCAGGAAGAAAAUUCCAACACGGACCACAACACCUAUGGACCUGGAAAACAUUGUGCUCAGUGAAAGAAGCCAGACACAGAAGGACAAUGUUGUAUGAGGGACACAUUCCAGCAAAAAGACACAAAGUGACAGAAUGGCUGCCUUUGAGUGAGGGUGAGAAGAGGUGGAUGGCAGGUACCAGAAGAGAAGGGAAUAAAUAUAUGAAGAAAUACGACCCUCUCAGGCAGUGCCUGGCACAGCAUAAAUGCCCAGGAAACAGAGGCCCAGUUGCUCACGUUCCCGGCGACAGGGCUGGGACCAGCGCCGGCUUCCUGGUGAAGGAGGCCACUCUUUCCUCUUGAGGGGUCUGAGUACGCAUGUCAGCACCCGGUGGGCACCCAGCACCCAGCUGACCACGGGCCUUCACCUCUGUGGGGGUCACUGGCCUGGCCCUGAGAACUGGAUGAAAGCUGGAAUAAUUCUUCCUGUAAUAAAGCAAACGUGACCACGUUCAACCUUUCCCUUCAUUUCAGAGGCUUCCCGCACCCGAUGCCUCCCACAGCUUCAGGCUGAGUCCCCAGGUGCUC